rnacentral:rRNA from 1 species
GACGAACGCUGGCGGCGUGCCUAAUACAUGCAAGUUGAGCGCUGAAGGUUGGUACUUGUACCGACUGGAUGAGCAGCGAACGGGUGAGUAACGCGUGGGGAAUCUGCCUUUGAGCGGGGGACAACAUUUGGAAACGAAUGCUAAUACCGCAUAAAAACUUUAAACACAAGUUUUAAGAUUGAAAGAUGCAAUUGCAUUACUCAAAGAUGAUCUCGCGUUUGAUUAGCUAGUUGGUGAGGUAAAGGCUCACCAAGGCGAUGGUACCUAGCCGACCUGAGAGGGGGGUCGGCCAACAUGGGACUGGGACACGGGCCAAAACCCUGAGGGAGGCAACAAUAGGGAAUCUUCGGCAAUGGGCGGAAGUCUGGACGGAGAACGCCGCCGGAGGGGAGGAGGUUUUCGGAUCGGAAAAAUCUGUUGGUAGAGAAGAACGUUGGUGAGAGUGGAAAGCUCAUCAAGUGACGGUAACUACCCAGAAAGCGACGGCUAACUACGUG